rnacentral:sRNA from 1 species
UCAAAAUCGACACCAAGAUCGCCACC